UCACCUGAAAGAGGCGGAAGUGAGCAGCGGUGAGCGGGUGAGUCCUGACAGUCCCCCUGGGAGAGCAAAGAGUCCUCACCUCCACCUUGCCUCUCCCAGCACUGAGCAGUCCCUUACUUUAAGCACCCGCUAGGGGGCGCACUUUUUGGGCCAUGCCCAUUACCAUAACCACGAGGAGAUCAUGGUUUGCGUCCUUCAAUCCCAUAGGAGUUUGGCUUGGGAGGAAUUUUUCACAGCUCAGAAGCGGGGAGGGGCCUCCCUGGCACACCUCAUACAGUAGGUGGAGGCUACCCCAGCCAGGACAGAUAGCUGGCCAGUUCUACACCUGGCACCUGUGCCUCUGCUUGUGCCCAGCCCCACCUUUCUUUUUUCUUUCUUUUUUUUCUUAAGAUGUAUUUAUUUAUUAUGUAUAUAGUGUUCUGCCUGCAUGUGUGCCUACACGCCAGAAGAGAGCACCAGAUCUCAUUACAGAUGGUUGUGAGCCACCACGUGUCUGCUGGGACUUGAACUCGGGACCUCUGGAAAGGCAGUCAGUGCUCUUAACCUCUGAGCCAACUCUCCAGCCCUUCGACCCUUCUUAAGGCCCCACCUGGUUGGAGUUGGAGAAGGCAUACAAUGCCAGUGGCUUCUCCCGUUUGUUGAUGAAGUUGAUGGCCUCAUCCAGACUCCUCACGGUCACCAAAGGCAGGAUGGGCCCAAAGAUCUCUUCCUGCAUCACAGGCUCUGUCUCCUGCACAUCUACCAGCACUGUGGGGGCUGUGGACAAAGGAAGAAACAGCCUUGCUUGUUAUCAGGGCUUGGAUGGAAACAAGGCUCUGGACUAGGAAGUCUCGGGAUCUGACCUCUCAGGACUCUGAGUGUCCAGGGACCUGGCCUCAUGGGGCAAUGAAAAAAGAAUGGAAGUUUAAGCUCAUGAAACUGGGGUCCCAGCUCAGUAAGCCUAAAGCUGUGGGGCCUAAGGUUGGAACUGAGGAGUCACAGGCUUAGCAACAGUUAUGGCACCACAAUCACCGGUGAACUCAAGAACACAAGGACUCGCGUUGGAGAUCACACUCAGGGUCCAACAGGGCCCUCUCCAGAAUGGAAGGGUCUCAGCCCAGGUGGGCUGUGGGCCAGCGAAGGGCAGGAGACUCACCAAUGUAGCGCUCUCCCUCAUCGCUCUGGCCACCGAUGGCCACGCGGCCACAGCCCAGCAGUCCCUGGAGACGCUUGAAGUGUUUCUGGUUGAUGAUUCGGCCCAGGUUGGGGGAGGUCUGCGGGUUGUCUCCGUAGAAACGUGUGAUGGCAUUCUGCAGGGCAGGCAGCAGCCUCUCCUGCAUCUCCUGGCUGCACAGGAUGUAGUCGGGGGCCACACAGGUCUGGCCAGCAUUGAAGUAGCGGAACCAGGCCACCCGGUUGGCCACAGUCUGGGGGUCACAGCUGUCAUCCACGUAGCAGGGGUUCUUACCCCCCAGCUCCAGGGUGACGGGCGUCAGGUGCUCGGCUGCGGCGGCCAUGACGAUCUUGCCUACCCGAGGGCUCCCUGAGGGCAUGGCCAAGAGGCACCAUCCUCACCUGGUCAGCUGGUCUAGGCAGGAACUUUGACCUUCUCUCUCCACAGAGACCUUCCCCAGCCCGACUUCUGGGCUGCUCCACCUACCUCCUAGAGUCUAUCUCCAUCCUGGCCACCCCAGAUUCUCCAAGAUCCUCAGGAGUCCUGGACAGCCACCCUCAGGGACACCUGUACCUCUUGACUCAUUCCCUACCCUGGCCUGUGGCCUCAUCCCCCAAGUCCUUCACAGACAUUCUCCGCUGUCCCCCAUCCCCAGGAUCCUGGCCAGGGCUGCCCUCACCUGUGAAGAAGAUAUAGUCAAAUUUGUGUUUCAGCAGCUGCCCGGUCUCCUCGGGCCCACCCAGCACCACAGCAAAGCAGCUCUGCAAGGCAGGACGAGAACUCAGGAGGCAGACCCAGGGCAGGGGGACCUCCCCACUGGCUGGGACAGGGGUGUGGGGCUGCCCACCUGGUCCAGGUACUGGGGCAGCAGCUCUGCCAGCACCUUCUCUGUGUUCUUGCUUAUUUCUGAUGGCUUCAGUACCACACAGUUCCCUGCAGGAGCCAAUGGGGAAGCAGAGAGGGGAUGCUGGUGCCUGCACCCUCCGGGGAACUCCGGAUGCCCUCUUUGGGAAGGACUGUCAGACUGUGGGGGCCCAAAAGCCCACUCACCUGCAGCGAUGGCUCCCACUAAGGGCAUGAUCAUCAAGUUCAAAGGAUAAUUCCAGGGUGCAAUGAUAAGCACCAGGCCAAAGGGCUCCUUCCGGAUGAAGGCUGAGCUCAGCUUCGUGAGCUAGGAUGCAGGGGGAUAGUCAGUGCCUAGGGAGUAACAGUCACACACACACACACACACACGUCCUCACAUCCCUGUGUAAUGGAGUCCCCAAAUGAGAAGACUGUUUUACUUUGGUCUCAAGGGCAGGAAGGGGCCUGGGGCCGGCUGUUUCCAUGCCCUGCCAUCCCUCUGACACCUUCACCCACCGUGACGCAGCCAACGGGGCUCACCAAGUUGGUGGACACAGACUCGUCCUUCAUCCAGGUCUGCAGGCUCUUGAGGGCCAGGUCCACCUCAUUCUGGCACAGGAUGAUCUCACUCAUGUCUGACUCGAAGGCUGACUGUGGGGAGAGCAGGUUCAAGGCUGGGCUGGGCUCUACCACUUGGAUAGGGCAUGAGGCAGCCCCCUUGAGCACAUAUGUGAACAGUGUAAGGACAGCAUGGUGGUCCCAUGGCGACUGCAGUUCUGGAGCGCCACUGCUUGGCUUUGAGACUUUGGGAGAGCGGCGUAACCCAAGUGCUUCAAUUUCCCUAUUGGUGACCUGAGAACAGCUAACAAACACCUGGAGAUUCGCUCCUCCUCAAGCGCACACGGUCUCAUAGAGGAUGUGGCGCCUCUUGGGAAGGGCACAGCUGCUCUAGAUGUCCCUGCCAUCCCCCCGCAGUACCUUGCCCACGUCCUUAGCCAGGGCAUCCUGCAGCAGCUGCUUGUUGUCCUGCAAGAAACGGCCCAGGCCCUGCAGCUGUGCUGCCCGGAACUCAGCAGGCCGUGUCUGCCCUGCACUGAAGGCCUCCCGCAGCCUCCGCAGUGUGUCCUCAGGAGGGUCCACCCUGGAGGAUGGGGCAGUGGUCAUUGGUGGCCUGUGUCCCACUCAACCUUUGGGGAGAGCUUCAGCAGCCCCAGAGGCUGAAGCAGGCCCCCAGUACACGUCAUUCACACCCACUUUCCCAUUCCCCUUCCCCCAAGUUUCUAACCUCCUACCCUGAGUUUCCUCUAAUGGGGAGCUGGAGGGAUGGUCAGCAGUUAAGAAUAUUGGCUAUUCUUACAGAGGACCUGGGUUCGAUUCUUACCAACCACAUGGCAGCUCACAACUGUCUGUAGUUCCCGAUCCAGGAGAUCUGACACCUUAUAUGCAGACAUACAUGUAGGAAAAAAACACUAAUGCACGUAAAAUAAAAGGAAAUAAAUUGUUUGGGACUGGAGAGAUGGCUCAGAGGUUAAGGGCAUUGACUGUCCUUUCAAAGUUCAAUUCCCAUUGACCGCAUGGUGGCUCAUAACCAUCUGUAAUGAGAUCUGGUGCCCUCUUCUGGUGUGCAGGUGUACAUGUAGGCAGAACAUUGUAUACAUAAUAAAUAAAUGUUUUUUUUAAGCCUCA